rnacentral:sRNA from 1 species
GGAUACCCCGAGAGGCUUAAAUCCACACACGUGUCGACACGAUGACCUGGGUGCCUUCAGCUGAUGCUGCUGGUUGGUCAUUGGGAUACGUGGAGGCCAAACC